rnacentral:rRNA from 1 species
GACGAACGCUGGCGGCGUGCUUAACACAUGCAAGUCGAACGGAGAGGGAUGGAAGCUGGCUUCUAUCCAUGUUAGUGACGGACGGGUGAGUAACGCGUAAUCAACCUGCGCUUCAGGGGGGAACACCGGAUGGUAGCGACUGCUACUACUGCAUACUCUCUAAACUCGGUAUGGGGGGUAGAGGUAAGGUGGCCUCUGCAGGACACCUAGCACAUAAGGAGGGGGUUGCGUCAGUUUCGCUAGAUGGAGGGGUCGGGGCGCAGGCAGGAGAUGAUCAGUGGCCGGUCUGAGUGGACGAGCGGCCAGAUUGGGACUGAGACACGGCCCAGACUGCUACGGGAGGCAGCAGUGGGGAAUCUGCCGCAAUGGACGAAAGUCUGACGGAGCAACGCCGCGUGAGUGAUGACGGCCUUCGGGUUGUAAAGCUCUGUUAAUCGGGACGAAAGGCCUUCUUGCGAAUAGUGAGAAGGAGUGACGGUACCGGAUUAGAAAGCCACGGCUAACUACGUG